GUAAACAUGGCUGUAGACUUAAUGACCAGUGGUUACAGAACCGAUAAUUUUUCAUCAAAAAUGGAGGAAACCGCCGUACAAGAAGCUGCAACCGCCGGACUUCAAAGCGUUGAGAAAUUAAUCAGAUUGUUGUCUAAAUCUCAUCAAAAUCAACAACAACAACAAACGAAUUUUCAGGAUUCGUCAUCGGGUAAUUCCUCUGUUUCUGCAGAUUAUCAAGCUGUAGCUGAUGCUGCUGUAAACAAAUUCAAAAAGUUCAUUUCUUUACUUGAUAAAAACAGAACUGGUCAUGCUAGAUUCCGGCGAGGACCAAUUAGUUCUCUUUCUCCUCCACUUCCAUCAAAGCCACAACAAUUACAACAAUCCAUUAAGAAUCAAAACCCCCAAAUUGAAGAAAUCGAAAAACCCCAAGCUUCAAAUACCAAAAUCUACUGUCCGACCCCAAUUCAAAGAUUGCCUCCUUUACCUCAUAACCAUCUUCAAUUAGUGAAAAAUGGGUCGAUUGAAAGGAAAGAAGCAUCAACUACCAUUAAUUUUGCUUCUCCAUCGCCGGCGACUUCGUUUAUGUCAUCGUUAACAGGGGAAACAGAGAGCUUACAGCAGUCUUUAUCUUCUGGGUUUCAAAUAACAAAUCUUUCUCAGGUUUCAUCCGCCGGCCGUCCACCUCUUUCUACUUCUUCAUUCAAAAGGAAGUGUAGUUCCAUGGACGAUACCGCCCUCAAGUGCAGCAGCGCCGGUGGUUCCUCUGGCCGUUGCCACUGCCCAAAGAAAAGAAAAUCAAGAGUCAAAAGAGUAGUAAGAGUCCCUGCUAUUAGCAUGAAAAUGGCUGAUAUUCCACCUGAUGAUUAUUCAUGGAGAAAAUAUGGUCAAAAACCC
rnacentral:misc_RNA from 1 species